GCCUAAAGCGUCCGUAGCCUGAUCUAUAAGUUUCCGGUUAAAUCCACAUGCUCAACAUUUGGGCUGCCGGAAAAACUGUAGAUCUAGGGAGUGGGAGAGGUAGACGGUACUCGGUAGGAAGGGGUAAAAUCCUUUGAUCUAUUGAUGACCACCAGUGGCGAAGGCGGUCUACUAGAACACGUUCGACGGUGAGGGAUGAAAGCUGGGGGAGCAAACCGGAUUAGAUACCCGGGUAGUCCCAGCUGUAAACGAUGCAGACUCGGUGAUGCAUUGGCUUGUGGCCAGUGCAGUGCCGCAGGGAAGCCGUUAAGUUUGCCGCCUGGGAAGUACGUACGCAAGUAUGAAACUUAAAGGAAUUGGCGGGGGAGCACCACAAGGGGUGAAGCCUGCGGUUCAAUUGGAGUCAACGCCAGAAAUCUUACCCGGAGAGACAGCAGAAUGAAGGUCAAGCUGAAGACUUUACCAGACAAGCUGAGAGGUGGUGCAUGGCCGUCGCCAGCUCGUGCCGUGAGAUGUCCUGUUAAGUCAGGUAACGAGCGAGACCCUUGCCUCUAGUUGCUACCAUUGCUCUCUGGAGCAGUGGGGCGAAUUAGCGGGACCGCCGCAGUUAAUGCGGAGGAAGGAAAGGGCUACGGCAGGUCAGUAUGCCCCGAA
rnacentral:rRNA from 1 species